rnacentral:rRNA from 1 species
GAUGAACGCUGGCGGCGUGCCUAAUACAUGCAAGUCGAGCGAACAGACGAGGAGCUUGCUCCUCUGACGUUAGCGGCGGACGGGUGAGUAACACGUGGAUAACCUACCUAUAAGACUGGGAUAACUUCGGGAAACCGGAGCUAAUACCGGAUAAUAUAUUGAACCGCAUGGUUCAAUAGUGAAAGACGGUUUUGCUGUCACUUAUAGAUUGAUCCGCGCCGCAUUAGCUAGUUGGUAAGGUAACGGCUUACCAAGGCAACGAUGCGUAGCCGACCUGAGAGGGUGAUCGGACACACUGGAACUGAGACACGGUCCAGACACCUACGGGAGGCAGCAGUAGGGAAUAUUCCGCAAUGGGCGAAAGCCUGACGGAGCAACGCCGCGUGAGUGAUGAAGGUCUUCGGAUCGUAAAACUCUGUUAUUAGGGAAGAACAAAUGUGUAAGUAACUAUGCACGUCUUGACGGUACCUAAUCAGAAAGCCACGGCUAACUACGUG